ensembl:lncRNA LINC02208 long intergenic non-protein coding RNA 2208
UUGCUCUUCAGUGAAUAUCACUUUUCCUUUCAUGUUUUUUCUACAUGCUAUUAUCUGUAUGAAAUGAAGACCAAGAAAGGAUGGGAAGAAGGAGAAGAAAAAUUUUGAUUUAUCUCAGAAACUAUACUCCGAAGUGAGAGUCCUGGUUGCAGCAUCCUUCACCGAAGCACGAAGCAGAAUCAAGCUGUUGCCAUGAAGCUUGUUUCAAGAGCUCAGAAAUACUCCAGGGACUCCUUUACUACUGCUUUUCAAAGAGGCCUUUUUUUCUCUCUUCUCCUUUUCCUGCAAAGAGGGUUAUAUCCAGUGCUCAAGGACAUGGGAUUAUCAGCCUAAGGCAUGAGUACAUGCUGUGGAAACAGAAAUAUGUAUGAAGGGAUGUAUGAAACCACAGAAUAAAUGGAAUCCACAUUCUUGAAGUAGCUACAACUCUACUUGAGGUCCCAAGGCACGUAGAUAGUACCUAUACAUCUCAUCAGGAACAUGGAUGGUUCUCUGCUAUCAGCUGAAGUGCUGUGACCACAAAACUGAAAAUUCCCAUUCUGUGUCCUUGCCAAUAAAGAAUGUCCAUCAGAGCACGCCCAGUAUCCUAGCUCCUUAUCCAGACUGUGCUUCUCAAUGUGACAAGGAAGACUGCAACCCUAUUUGCUUCUGAUAACCUUCCUAUGACUAAGCAAAGGACAAUCUAACUGGCUGAAUGAGAGGAGCGGGAAGAAGAAAGGGCCAAAAGAUGACAGAAAAUAGGGGAAGGUUAGAAUGCCAUCCUUCUGGAACACCCUGAGAAGUCCAGUUUUUCAGACUCCUUCCUGCUGAGGACUCAACCUAUUCUUCAAAUGAUGGGUUUUUGGAUUGAGAACUGCCUGAGAACUGCAAUAUGUGCCGGGAUCUUGAUUUUCUAUCUGGGACAAAAGACUGAGACUGGGCCUCAUUCUUCUCUUUGUUCAUUCUUGAUUUCUUUGGAUUAUAUAUUAUAUUAAACAACAUUAUCAUUGGCUGUUGAUCUAUCUCAUUGGCUGUGGUAUUAGCCAGUUGCAUAGCUCCCUGCAGGUGAGAUUUCCCUGCCUGUUAUUCUGACCUUGUUACUUGUUGAACUUUACUUCUAGCAAUUAAAUGCUGCCACAUUUCCUUUGCUGUUCAAGGAUCACAUCAUCUUGAUUGCUGUUGAGCCUGCUAAUAGCAGGCUAAUAUUUUUGAAUGUCAUCAGCCCAGACUGUAGAGGACAGCCACUAUGAGAUUUUCAAUGAUACUGUUGCCUCCUUCAUCAGCUUAUUCCAUUUUGGUAAAUGGUGGGUCCUUUAGAUCUUUUCAAGGAAUAUAGUUGGAAUGUAGGUCUUUUGGUCUUAGGUAGUUGGUCUAUUCUAACAUGCUCCUAUCAAUGAGUCUUUUGAUCUCUUUCUCUAUGGCCUGUCAGAACAAUUCAGACAUCUUUAUGUUUUUUCAAAUUUCUGAGUCGUCCUAAUAGCACAUCAGAACUGUCCUGCAGGGUUUUGUCAGGUAUUAAAUUAAAUAAAAUAAUUUCCCUGAAAUUGACAAAAA